CCUACGGGAGACAGCAGUGGGGAAUAUUGGGCAAUGGGCGCAAGCCUGACCCAGCAACGCCGCGUGAAGGAAGAAGGCUUUCGGGUUGUAACCUUCUUUUAAGGGGGAAGAGGAGAAGACGGUACCCCUUGAAUAAGCCACGGCUAACUACGUGCCAGCAGCCGCGGUAAUACGUAGGUGGCAAGCGUUGUCCGGAUUUACUGGGUGUAAAGGGCGUGCAGCCGGGAGGACAAGUCAGAUGUGAAAUCCCGCGGCUCAACCGCGGAACUGCAUUUGAAACUGUUUUUCUUGAGUACCGGAGAGGUCAUCGGAAUUCCUUGUGUAGCGGUGAAAUGCGUAGAUAUCACGCAGAACCCCGAUUGCGAAGGCAGCAUACCGGUGCACAACUGACGCUCAGGCACGAAAGCGUGGGUAUCGAACAGGAUUAGAUACCCUGGUAGUC
rnacentral:rRNA from 1 species